rnacentral:rRNA from 1 species
GGACUACUGGGGUAUCUAAUCCUGUUUGCUACCCACGCUUUCGCCUCUCAGCGUCAAUACUGGCCCAGAGUGCCGCCUUCGCCACCGGUGUUCCUCCUGAUAUCUAUGCAUUUCACCGCUACACCAGGAAUUCCGCACUCCCCUACCAGAUUCAAGCCAUGACAGUAUCGGGUGGCGUCUCCGGGUUGAGCCCGGAGUUUUCACACCCGACUUAUCAAGCCGCCUACAGGCUCUUUACGCCCAAUAAAUCCGGACAACGCUUGGACCCUACGUAUUACCGCGGCUGCUGGCAC